rnacentral:tRNA from 1 species
UAGCUCAGAUGGUAAAGAAUCUGCCUGCAAUGCAGGAGACCCAGGUUCAAUCCCUGG